ACAGCACCCACAGACAUACACAGCACCCACACACAUACAGCACCCAUACACAGCACCCACACACAUACAGCACCCAUACACAGCACCCACAGACAUACACAGCACCCACAGACAUACACAGCACCAACACACAUACAGCACCCACACACACAUACAGCACCCUCACAAACACACACAGCACCCUCACACACACACAGCACACAAACAGCUCCCUCACACACACACAGCACACUAACAGUACCCUCACAAACACAAACAGGACCCUAACAAACACACACACAGCACACUACCAGUACCCUCACAUACAAACAGCACCCUCACACACAGUACAUUAACAGCACCCUCACAAGCGCGCACACACACACAAACAGCACCCUCACACACAGUACAUUAACAGCAUCCUCACAAGCACGCACACACAAACACCCUCACCCACAUAGCAC